rnacentral:rRNA from 1 species
GACGAACGCUGGCGGCGUGCUUAACACAUGCAAGUCGAACGGAAAGGCCCUGCUUGCAGGGUACUCGAGUGGCGAACGGGUGAGUAACACGUGGGUGAUCUGCCCUGCACUUCGGGAUAAGCCUGGGAAACUGGGUCUAAUACCGGAUAGGAGCCAUUUUUAGUGUGAUGGUUGGAAAGUUUUUUCGGUGUAGGAUGAGCUCGCGGCCUAUCAGCUUGUUGGUGGGGUAAUGGCCUACCAAGGCGGCGACGGGUAGCCGGCCUGAGAGGGUGGACGGCCACAUUGGGACUGAGAUACGGCCCAGCCUCCUACGGGAGGCAGCAGGGGGGAAUAUUGCACAAUGGGCGCAAGCCUGAUGCAGCGACGCCGCGUGGGGGAUGACGGCCUUCGGGUUGUAAACUCCGUUCGCUAGGGACGAAGCUUUUUGUGACGGUACCUAGAGAAGAAGCACCGGCUAACUACGUG